rnacentral:rRNA from 1 species
AGUGAACGCUGGCGGUAGGCCUAACACAUGCAAGUCGAACGGCAGCACAGUAAGAGCUUGCUCUUACGGGUGGCGAGUGGCGGACGGGUGAGGAAUACAUCGGAAUCUACUUUUUCGUGGGGGAUAACGUAGGGAAACUUACGCUAAUACCGCAUACGACCUACGGGUGAAAGCAGGGGAUCUUCGGACCUUGCGCGAUUGAAUGAGCCGAUGUCGGAUUAGCUAGUUGGCGGGGUAAAGGCCCACCAAGGCGACGAUCCGUAGCUGGUCUGAGAGGAUGAUCAGCCACACUGGAACUGAGACACGGUCCAGACUCCUACGGGAGGCAGCAGUGGGGAAUAUUGGACGAUGGGCGCAAGCCUGAUCCAGCAAUACCGCGUAGGUGCAGAAGGCCUUCGGGUUGUAAAGCCCUUUUGUUGGGAAAGAAAAGCAGCAGGUUAAUACCCCGCUGUUCUGACGGUACCCAAAGAAUAAGCACCGGCUAACUUCGUG